rfam:Gossypium hirsutum cultivar TM-1 unplaced genomic scaffold scaffold1263.1, whole genome shotgun sequence
UAUUAACAAUUUCAUCCAUUUGUAUUGUUAAAAACUGGCAUCGUUGGUGGAAUAACAUGACAAUGACACAUAGCAUGUCAUGUGCACCUCAUGCUGAUAUAUAGGAACCGGUUUUAAACAGUAGAAAUGGAUGAAAUUUUUAACA